CAAGUACUCCCUUCGUCCGGAAUUACUUGUCAUCAAAAUGGAUGUGUCUAGAACUAAAAUACAUCUAGAUACAUCCAUUUCAAUGACAAGUAUUUUCGGACAGAGGGAGUACAAG
rfam:Triticum aestivum genome assembly, contig: Triticum_aestivum_CS42_TGACv1_scaffold_573051_7AS